rnacentral:rRNA from 1 species
UGAGGAAUAUUGGUCAAUGGGCGCAAGCCUGAACCAGCCAUCCCGCGUGCAGGAAGACGGCGCUAUGCGUUGUAAACUGCUUUUCCAGGGGGAGAAUUUUCCGGUCGUGACCGGGAUUGACGGUACCCUGGGAAUAAGCAUCGGCUAACUCCGUGCCAGCAGCCGCGGUAAUACGGAGGAUGCGAGCGUUAUCCGGAUCUAUUGGGUUUAAAGGGUGCGUAGGCGGAUCAAUAAGUCAGUGGUGAAAACCUGCAGCUUAACUGUAGAUGUGCCGUUGAUACUGUUGGUCUUGAGUAUGGUCAAGGUAGGCGGAAUGUGUAAUGUAGCGGUGAAAUGCUUAGAUAUUACACAGAACACCGAUUGCGAAGGCAGCUUGCUGGGCCAUUACUGACGCUGAUGCACGAAAGCGUGGGGAUCGAACAGG